rnacentral:piRNA from 1 species
UACUGAAAAUGGCUAUGAUAAGGG